UGGUGGGUAGUUUGACUGGGGCGGUCUCCUCCUAAAGAGUAACGGAGGAGCACGAAGGUUGGCUAAUCCUGGUCGGACAUCAGGAGGUUAGUGCAAUGGCAUAAGCCAGCUUGACUGCGAGCGUGACGGCGCGAGCAGGUGCGAAAGCAGGUCAUAGUGAUCCGGUGGUUCUGAAUGGAAGGGCCAUCGCUCAACGGAUAAAAGGUACUCCGGGGAUAACAGGCUGAUACCGCCCAAGAGUUCAUAUCGACGGCGGUGUUUGGCACCUCGAUGUCGGCUCAUCACAUCCUGGGGCUGAAGUAGGUCCCAAGGGUAUGGCUGUUCGCCAUUUAAAGUGGUACGCGAGCUGGGUUUAGAACGUCGUGAGACAGUUCGGUCCCUAUCUGCCGUGGGCGCUGGAGAACUGAGGGGGGCUGCUCCUAGUACGAGAGGACCGGAGUGGACGCAUCACUGGUGUUCGGGUUGUCAUGCCAAUGGCACUGCCCGGUAGCUAAAUGCGGAAGAGAUAAGUGCUGAAAGCAUCUAAGCACGAAACUUGCCCCGAGAUGAGUUCUCCCUGACUCCUUGAGAGUCCUGAAGGAACGUUGAAGACGACGACGUUGAUAGGCCGGGUGUGUAAGCGCAGCGAUGCGUUGAGCUAACCGGUACUAAUGAACCGUGAGGCUUAACCUUACAACGCCGAA
rnacentral:rRNA from 1 species